rnacentral:tRNA from 1 species
UGGGAACAUAGCUCAGUUGGUAGAGCGCAUGACUGUUAAUCAUGAUGUCACAGGUUCGAGCCCUGCUGUUCCCGU